ACAGCCAAUGAUGACAUCGAAUGCAAUCACCUCGAGAGGUUCUUGGCUCCGAAUUUAAUUCCACAAGCAUGUGUGGAGUCCUUACCAAGUAUCCUGUUAGACUGUGAAAACCCUGGGGACAGAGACCAUCUCUUCCUCAUCUCCUUUUAUUUCAGAUAAGUAAACAUAUGGCAUCUGAGAAGCUUUCUCAAACCCUGAAAUCCGCUGGUGAACCUGGACUUCUACCUUGGAGUUUUCCUGCAUGUGGGACCAGCUGCAGAGAAACACUUGCAAUAUGUACCCAAAAAGAUGUACAUGGAUAUUCACUGCAGAAGCAUUUACAAUAUCGAGAACUUGGAAGAAAGGUCAUGUCUGAGGAAAGUGACAUUUGAGCAAAACCCCAAAUCAAGUGACUAUCUGGAAGCAAACGUGAGAACUGGGGAAGGAGGAUGAAUCCAAGCAGAAGAAAGAGCAGUUGCAGCGGACUUGAGCUGGGCAUAAACUCCGUACGUUUCUAAUGUACUGAGCAGGUCAGCAUGACUGGAGGAGGGAGCGUACACAGGGGUGGGUGUUUUUGUAGCGGUUAAGGUGCAGAGGCUACAGUGCUGCUUGCUACACCCUUAUCUCAUAUCAGAAUGCCUGGAGUUGAGUCGCCUCUGCUUCCCAUCCAGCUAACUGUUAACAUGCACCCUGGGAUGCAGUCGUGAUGGUUCAUGUAACUGGAACCAUGCAACCCACAUGGGAGACCUGGAUGGAGUUCCUGGCUCCUGGCUCUUGGUUUCAGCCCAACCCAGCUUCAGCUGUUGCAGGCAUUUGGGAAGUAAACCAGCAGAUGAGAUCUCUUUCUUUGCUCUCUCCUCCCCCCACCUUCAGAUAAAUGAAUGAAUGAGUGAAUAAAUACAGUAUUUUGAGGAGGAGGAAAUUAUAAGGAAGUGAGGUAGGAGAGAGAAGCAGGGACCUGAGGACCGUGGGAAGGACUGGACUUUAUUCUCAACGCUGAUAAAGAGCUAUUGGAGAGGAGCAAUCCAUUUGAAUUUUUGAAAAGGUUGUUCUGGCUGCUGUAUGGAGAAUAGAUGGUAUGGAGUGUGGGGUGGGUGAGCCAAAGGGAGAAGCAUUAGGAGGCUCCAUGGAAGAGGCGGCACAGAGGAAGUGCUGAUGCGUAUGAGACUAGACAUUACUUGGGAUGACAAAUUCUACAGCAGUUACUGAGGGCUUGGAGGAGAGAAACCCCAACAUGCAAGUAUUGGAUAGGCCCAAGUAUCUGGAUGGGAGGAAGUGAAUGAUAUUAUUUCUUUCCUAAUUCCUCCUUGGUGCUUAAUAGAUGGCACAUUGUCAAGAAAUUUUUGUUGAAAUCUGGCCCAUGACCAUAAAGUUUCAUGACUUUUGUGUCACUGGUGCUUUUAAUUUUUUCAGUUUUGUUUAGUAUUUUGGCGAAUGUUCUUAUCUUGAAUGGGAUUUAAGUCAAGGAUCUGGUGCUGGGACCCACCCUUUAGCAGCAGGGAUCACGUGCUGAGUGCCACGUUUGUCUGUGAGCAGGAGCCGGGGUGUGUGCAUGCACAUGUGUGUGCAUGUGUUUUUAUUUCCACAGAGAAUGUGACUGGAAGAAAACUCAACAUCUUUGCUUUGGUUGUACUUGGUAUUUGGUUUCCUUACAGUGUUUCUGUUUUUUGAAAGCUACUCCACAAGGGGUGGUGAGGACACAGCAAGGCAUGGAAAGAAUUCAGCAGAGCUUCUGAAUGACAAACCAGUCAGCCAGCCAGACACACACACACACACACACACACACGUAUGCAUGCAUGCACAUUCCUCUGGCAUCAAGCCAGCUAAAAUGCUUUACAUGUCUUCAGCUAAGCUUAUGCUCAGUCCUAUGACAUGCCACAUAUGUAAUAAGGCACUACAUUAAAAAAAAGCAACACCGAUAAUCUGAAAAGUCACUUCCCCAUUUCAUCUCAGAGUCAGCCUCCAUCUUAACCACAGAUCGAUUUUGCAAUUGCCACAUUCUGGCAGCUUCUGCGCAAGAGUGAGUGUUGUCUGAUGCAACAAUAUGCUUCUGCGGUGGAUCAAGGAGUAAAACGGGAGCCUGGGGCUUCUCACCAAGUGCUGGGUUUAGGGGGGCUGGCUUUGUGGCAUUGUGAGCUAAGCUGCCACGUGCAACCCUGGCAUCCCAUGCUGGAGCACAAGUUCAAGUCCUGGCUUUUCUGCUUCCAAUCCAGCUCCCUGUUACUGCUCCUGGGAAGGCAGCAGAGGAUGGCUCAAUUACUUGGGCACCUGCUUCUCACAUGGGAGACCCAGAUAAAGUUCUGGGCUCCUGGUUUCAGCCUGGACCAACCCUGCCAUGGCUGCCAUUUAGAGAGUGAAUGGUGGAUGGAGUCUUUCUCUCUCUCU